CGUCAGAACGAACCAUUCGCCUCGGCGGACACAAGCGAACUCAUCGAAGUCGUUCCCUUUGGCUUGUUAGCGUUUACCCGUCAAAACGGAAUUUUGAGGAGAAUGGAUCCUAACCGAGUGCACACACCGCCUCAAUAUCUUCCUGUUGGAUAAAAGCGAAAAGUGACGGAGAAAUUAGCAUGAAACCUUACUGCAUUCACACUAAACAUACCUGGAUUGGGCGUUCCAACUAGAAUAGUUCUUAAUAUUCUUGCGAAGCUUCCCGCGUAUUUCACCGCAACUUCGAUUUUACUUAAUUCCUUUUUACGACGUGUUAUAAAAAUAGGCAAGGAUGCAAGGUAUCUCCCGAUUGUUCGAAAUAUAUCCAGAAGUAAAUCAAAAUGAAACAUCGAUGAUACCAACCAGAACAAUAAAACACCGAAAACGAGCAUAGACAGUAUGUAACGCAAGGAUCCGUUCCUGUUCGCUGUAAAAUGAAGAAAUUUGUGUCAAUUUGAACUUACAAAAUUCCAAAACAGAAGAUUUGAAUUUA